rnacentral:rRNA from 1 species
AGUGAACGCUGGCGGUAGGCCUAACACAUGCAAGUCGAACGGCAGCACAGUAAGAGCUUGCUCUUACGGGUGGCGAGUGGCGGACGGGUGAGGAAUACAUCGGAAUCUACUUUUUCGUGGGGGAUAACGUAGGGAAACUUACGCUAAUACCGCAUACGACCUACGGGUGAAAGCAGGGGAUCUUCGGACCUUGCGCGAUUGAAUGAGCCGAUGUCGGAUUAGCUAGUUGGCGGGGUAAAGGCCCACCAAGGCGACGAUCCGUAGCUGGUCUGAGUGGAUGAUCAGCCACACUGGAACUGAGACACGGUCCAGACUCCUACGGGAGGCAGCAGUGGGGAAUAUUGGACAAUGGGCGCAAGCCUGAUCCAGCCAUACCGCGUGGGUGAAGAAGGCCUUCGGGUUGUAAAGCCCUUUUGUUGGGAAAGAAAAGCAGCAGGUUAAUACCCCGCUGUUCUGACGGUACCAAAAGAAUAAGCACCGGCUAACUUCGUG